rnacentral:rRNA from 1 species
UGCAGUCGAGCGGACAGAUGGGAGCUUGCUCCCUGAUGUUAGCGGCGGACGGGUGAGUAACACGUGGGUAACCUGCCUGUAAGACUGGGAUAACUCCGGGAAACCGGGGCUAAUACCGGAUGGUUGUUUGAACCGCAUGGUUCAGACAUAAAAGGUGGCUUCGGCUACCACUUACAGAUGGACCCGCGGCGCAUUAGCUAGUUGGUGAGGUAACGGCUCACCAAGGCGACGAUGCGUAGCCGACCUGAGAGGGUGAUCGGCCACACUGGGACUGAGACACGGCCCAGACUCCUACGGGAGGCAGCAGUAGGGAAUCUUCCGCAAUGGACGAAAGUCUGACGGAGCAACGCCGCGUGAGUGAUGAAGGUUUUCGGAUCGUAAAGCUCUGUUGUUAGGGAAGAACAAGUGCCGUUCAAAUAGGGCGGCACCUUGACGGUACCUAACCAGAAAGCCACGGCUAACUACGUGCCAGCAGCCGCGGUAAUACGUAGGUGGCAAGCGUUGUCCGGAAUUAUUGGGCGUAAAGGGCUCGCAGGCGGUUUCUUAAGUCUGAUGUGAAAGCCCCCGGCUCAACCGGGGAGGGUCAUUGGAAACUGGGGAACUUGAGUGCAGAAGAGGAGAGUGGAAUUCCACGUGUAGCGGUGAAAUGCGUAGAGAUGUGGAGGAACACCAGUGGCGAAGGCGACUCUCUGGUCUGUAACUGACGCUGAGGAGCGAAAGCGUGGGGAGCGAACAGGAUUAGAUACCCUGGUAGUCCACGCCGUAAACGAUGAGUGCUAAGUGUUAGGGGGUUUCCGCCCCUUAGUGCUGCAGCUAACGCAUUAAGCACUCCGCCUGGGGAGUACGGUCGCAAGACUGAAACUCAAAGGAAUUGACGGGGGCCCGCACAAGCGGUGGAGCAUGUGGUUUAAUUCGAAGCAACGCGAAGAACCUUACCAGGUCUUGACAUCCUCUGACAAUCCUAGAGAUAGGACGUCCCCUUUCGGGGGCAG